UAAAAUUUACAUGUUGCCUACUUCUUCUGC
rnacentral:piRNA from 1 species